rnacentral:misc_RNA from 1 species
GAGUUGAUGAGAGAGUUUGUGUUGUUCUACUUACUUCCACAAAUCAUUUUUGUCUGCUCAAUUUCCUUAAUGCUGAUGGGUGAAAUUGCUGGAAAAAACAUUUGUUCUUACUUAUUGGCUUAAAAUUACUUCGUUGUUUGCUGGCUUAAUCGCAUAAGGCAACUUAGAAGUCACUUUUUUUAUCAAUUCAUUUUCAUCAUUAUGUAAGAAACUUAGAACUAGUCCAUGAUGCAACAUAUGACUCUACAUGAGAGAUUGAGUGGAAAAAUUCCUAUAUUUCAGAAUACACCACGCACAGAUUACUCCCACAUAUGCAUGCUUUCACACACAUGGGGUAGUGCCCGGCCAUUUUUUGUCAAUCCAAGUAUCUUAAUCAUAACUCCCUCAUUCAGUGGUUCCUUCCUUAGAAUUUGC